GGAAAAGGAAAAGAUGGCUGCGCGAUGGGCGUGGUUACACGCAAUUUAGGUGUUCACUGUUGCGCUCAAAUUACUAUGUACUUUUUCCCGUUUCUCACGAAAAAAUGUAGAUAAAUAAAACGAAACGAAGUGUUAUUGGAGUUAUCAGCGUAAGACAGCAAAGCAGUUUAGUCAUGGACAGAUAAACAGUUCUUAGUUCUCCUCCUCAAAGGAUGCCCAUUACCAACGCAAGAAGGGUGAACAUUUCUGCCAGUGUCCAUGUUGGGAAGAACCCAUGUGUUCCUGCCUUACCGAGAUGCAGGCUUCAUUCAGCAGUGUAACACGCUUGCAGCCAACAUGACCGACACCUUCACACCAAGUCCAUUGCACUCCUGGUCCAGCACCGCCAGGACAGUUUGGAUGGCACCCUCUCGGCCCCCUGCGUGACCAGCAGCCAGGUGUGAGAUCAUCGCCAUGAUGACAUUGUACUCAUGAAGAACCCAGAGGGCAAAGGGCUGGGUGACCCUGCCUAAAGUUCUGGUACUUCUCAUCCUGCCCCGGGAGCUGACUGCCCUGCCAUUCUCUACAUCUGUUGAGUUCUACCUUGAGUAUGUAUACAGAGGCCAGUUAACCACCCUUCUUUCACCCCAUAGCGUGCACACUGCUACACGAUUGGUUGCUGUCGUGUAAACUGCUUUGUGAUUGGUUAACAGACCAG
rnacentral:lncRNA from 1 species